UGUUUAAGCAUAACAUCGCGGCUUUAGUUUCGGGACAUCCCCAAAUAUGAAACUAGUCCAUUUAAAAUCUGAUACACGCAUGUUGGUUUUGUAAAGUGGGUCAUUUGGUUGGUUAAGUGGAUUUCAAAACCAGCAAGCGUGCUAGAGGAAGUAUAUACACAUUCUACAUAAGAAAAUCAUGGGGUCAAAACGUAACUUUCUUGCUAUUUUGAGCGUUUCGAACAAACAUGGCCUAGAAAACUUUGCGAAAAGAUUGCAAAA